rnacentral:rRNA from 1 species
GAUGAACGCUGGCGGCAUGCCUAACACAUGCAAGUCGGACGGGAAGACGUGUUUCCUGUGGCGCUCGGGUGAGCAACGCGUAAGAAACUGACCUGGGGAGGGGAACAACAGCUGGAAAGGGCUGCUAAUACCCCGCAGGCCGAGGAGCAAAAGGAGGAAUCCGCCGGAGGGGGGGCUAGCGUCUGACUAGCUAGCUGGCGAGGGAAUAGCUUACCAAGGUGAUGGUGAGUAGCUGGUCGGACAGGACGAUCAGCCACACUGGGACUGGGACACGGACCAGGGUACUACGGGAGACAGGAGUGAGGAAGUUUCCGCAAUGGGCGAUGGGCGGACGGAGCAAUGCCGCGUGGAAAUAGAGGGCCCAGGGAUCGAGAACUGCUUUUCCCGGAGAAGAAGCAAUGACGGUAUCUAGUGAAUAAGCAUCGGCUAACUCUGUG